GACGAACGCUGGCGGCGUGCCUAAUACAUGCAAGUCGAACGCAUUUUCUUUCACCGUAGCUUGCUACACCGAAAGAAAAUGAGUGGCGAACGGGUGAGUAACACGUGGGUAACCUGCCCAUCAGCGGGGGAUAACACUUGGAAACAGGUGCUAAUACCGCAUAAUUCCAUUUACCGCAUGGUAGAUGGGUGAAAGGCGCUUUUGCGUCACUGAUGGAUGGACCCGCGGUGCAUUAGCUAGUUGGUGGGGUAACGGCCUACCAAGGCUGCGAUGCAUAGCCGACCUGAGAGGGUGAUCGGCCACACUGGGACUGAGACACGGCCCAGACUCCUACGGGAGGCAGCAGUAGGGAAUCUUCGGCAAUGGACGCAAGUCUGACCGAGCAACGCCGCGUGAGUGAAGAAGGGUGUCGGAUCGUAAAACUCGGUUGUUAGAGAAGAACAAGGAUGAGAGUGGAAAGUUCAUCCCUUGACGGUAUCUAACCAGAAAGCCACGGCUAACUACGUG
rnacentral:rRNA from 1 species